rnacentral:misc_RNA from 1 species
AGCAGCCGCGGUAAUUCCAGCUCCAAUAGCGUAUAUUAAAGUUGUUGCAGUUAAAAAGCUCGUAGUUGAAUUUCGGGACUAAUAUGUCGGUCGUACUUUGUACGUACUAGCAUUAUUGGUUUCUCCCUUCUGACGAACCACGAUGUCAUUAAUUUGGUGUCAUGGGAAAUCAGGACUGUUACUUUGAAAAAAUUAGAGUGUUUAAAGCAAGCUCGCGCUUGAAUACAUUAGCAUGGAAUAAUGAAAUAGGACGUUUGAUUCUAUUUUGUUGGUUUCUAGGAUCGACGUAAUGAUUAAUAGGGAUAGUUGGGGGCAUUAGUAUUCAAUUGUCAGAGGUGAAAUUCUUGGAUUUAUUGAAGACUAACUACUGCGAAAGCAUUUGCCAAG